rnacentral:rRNA from 1 species
UACGUAUGGGGCAAGCGUUAUCCGGAUUCAUUGGGCGUAAAGAGCGCGUAGGCGGCUUGGUAAGUCAGAUGUGAAAACUGGGGGCUCAACCCGCAGCCUGCAUCUGAAACUUCCAGGCUUGAGUCUGGUAGAGGAAAGUGGAAUUCCUAGUGUAGCGGUGAAAUGCGCAGAUAUUAGGAGGAACACCAGUGGCGAAGGCGGCUUUCUGGGCCACGACUGACGCUGAGGCGCGAAAGCGUGGGGAGCAAACAGG